AGUGAACGCUGGCGGUAGGCCUAACACAUGCAAGUCGAACGGCAGCACAGAGGAGCUUGCUCCUUGGGUGGCGAGUGGCGGACGGGUGAGGAAUACAUCGGAAUCUACUCUGUCAUGGGGGAUAACGUAGGGAAACUUACGCUAAUACCGCAUACGACCUACGGGUGAAAGCAGGGGAUCUUCGGACCUUGCGCGAUUGAAUGAGCCGAUGUCGGAUUAGCUAGUUGGCGGGGUAAAGGCCCACCAAGGCGACGAUCCGUAGCUGGUCUGAGGGGAUGAUCGGCCACACUGGAACUGAGACACGGGCCAGACUCCUACGGGAGGCAGCAGUGGGGAAUAUUGGACAAUGGGCGCAAGCCUGAUCCAGCCAUACCGCGUGGGUGAAGAAGGCCUUCGGGUUGUAAAGCCCUUUUGUUGGGAAAGAAAUCCAUCUGGUUAAUACCCGGGUGGGAUGACGGUACCCAAAGAAUAAGCACCGGCUAACUUCGUGCCAGCCGCCGCCGUAAAAC
rnacentral:rRNA from 1 species